rnacentral:rRNA from 1 species
AAUAUUGCGCAAUGGAGGGAACUCUGACGCAGCGACGCCGCGUGAGCGAUGAAGGUUUUCGGAUCGUAAAGCUCUGUCCUUGGGGAAGAAGGUCUUCGGACUUGACGGUACCUAAGGAGGAAGCCCCGGCUAACUACGUGCCAGCAGCCGCGGUAGUACGUAGGGGGCAAGCGUUGUCCGGAAUUAUUGGGCGUAAAGGGUGCGUAGGCGGCUUUUUAAGUCAGAUGUGAAAGGCUACGGCUUAACCGUAGUUAGCAUUUGAAACUAAAAGGCUUGAGUGCAGGAGAGGAGAGUGGAAUUCCUAGUGUAGCGGUGAAAUGCGUAGAUAUCGGGAGGAACACCAGUGGCGAAGGCGACUACCUGGACGACAACUGACGCUGAGGCACGAAAGCUAGGGGAGCAAAC